UACGUAGGGUGCAAGCGUUGUCCGGAAUUAUUGGGCGUAAAGAGCUCGUAGGCGGUUUGUUGCGUCGGCUGUGAAAACCCGCAGCUCAACUGUGGGCUUGCAGCUGAUACGGGCGGGCUCGAGUUCGGUAGGGGAGACUGGAAUUCCUGGUGUAGCGGUGAAAUGCGCAGAUAUCAGGAGGAACACCGGUGGCGAAGGCGGGUCUCUAGUACGGUACUGACGCUGAGACGCGAAAGCGUGGGGAGCAAACAGG
rnacentral:rRNA from 1 species